GUGCAAGAAACGAAGCAGCCUGGUAAAGAUUGAAAACAGACAAUUGGCUUUGUUUGCGAGUGGUGCGUUUUUAACUAUGGCGCAGAAAACAGUGCAGAAACAAAAUGGCGUCGUUGGAGUGAACCCCUUUGUGAUACGUGCGGGCAUGUUUCCUGCAGAUCUGAUGCUAAGCCAAACCGUUGACUGUGUGCCCUAAUAUUUCUUUUGCAGAUCGCGUAGAUCGCGAUUCGUGCUACGGUGAAAUAUAAAGAUGUGCUUUUGAUAUUAGUUGAGAACAGUGUCCAGAUGAAAUAUACCGAAAAACAUGAAAUUGAUCGGAAGUGCAUUUGCCGCUUGUUCCAUGCCUUCAUUACGCUGCCACGGGUGCCUUGAGAAGUAGUUCUGAAAAAUGAGCCGCAGUAAGCCGUAAAGGCCGUUCAUUUGGGUAGAUGUUUGUUCAAAAUUUCAGCAUUGCUCUAUGUAAAAGAAAAGUUCUGCUUUAUAAUCUACAUUACUCAGAAAUCAUUGAAGCCAUCGAAGUGGACAGCGUAUUUACAGCGAACACUUAAUGAAGCCUGCCAUUCAACAAAAGUAAGUUUAAAAAAAUUAAACGCUCCACAUUGCUUUUUAGAUUGGCCUAGCCGCAUGGUGCUGAACGCUAGCUAGUCGGCCUUCUCUAAUUGACGUGCUUCUAUCCGUUUCUUGAUAAGCACAAGUCGCGGCUCCUAACUCGCAAAAGUCUUCACAGUAAGUCCUUACAUUAUUCCAUUAUAUUUUGUUGUAUUUUUCGAUGACGAUAUUUUUUUCUUGUUUUUCUCUCUUGUAUGUGUUUUUUGUAAUUGUACGGAUGUUCGUUUUAC